CCUACGGGAGGCAGCAGUGAGGAAUAUUGGUCAAUGGGAGAGAUCCUGAACCAGCCACGCCGCGUGAGGGAAGACGGCCCUAUGGGUUGUAAACCUCUUUUGUCGGAGAACAAAACCCGGGACGUGUCCCGGACUGCGUGUAUCCGACGAAAAAGCAUCGGCUAACUCCGUGCCAGCAGCCGCGGUAAUACGGAGGAUGCGAGCGUUAUCCGGAUUUAUUGGGUUUAAAGGGUACGUAGGCGGUCCGUUAAGUCAGCGGUAAAAUUGCGGGGCUCAACCCCGUCCAGCCGUUGAAACUGGCAGACUUGAGUUGGCGAGAGGUACGCGGAAUGCGCGGUGUAGCGGUGAAAGGCAUAGAUAUCGGGCAGAACUCCGAGUGCGAAGGCAGCGUACUGGCGCCAGACUGACGCUGAGGCACGAAAGCGUGGGGAUCGAACAGGAUUAGAUACCCUUGUAGUC
rnacentral:rRNA from 1 species